GACGAACGCUGGCGGCGUGCUUAACACAUGCAAGUCGAACGGAAAGGCCUCUUUCGGGGGGUACUCGAGUGGCGAACGGGUGAGUAACACGUGAGUAACCUGCCCUUGACUUUGGGAUAACUUCAGGAAACUGGGGCUAAUACCGGAUAGGAGCUCCUGCUGCAUGGUGGGGGUUGGAAAGUUUCGGCGGUUGGGGAUGGACUCGCGGCUUAUCAGCUUGUUGGUGGGGUAGUGGCUUACCAAGGCUUUGACGGGUAGCCGGCCUGAGAGGGUGACCGGCCACAUUGGGACUGAGAUACGGCCCAGACGCCUACGGGAGGCAGCAGUGGGGAAUAUUGCACAAGGGGUGGAAGCCGGAUGCAGCAACGCCGUGGGCGGGAUGACGGCCUUCGGGUUGGAAACCGCUUUCGCUCAUGACGAAGCUUUGUGUGACGGUAGUGGGUAAAGAAGCACCGGCUAACUACGUG
rnacentral:rRNA from 1 species